AGAUUUAUUGUUUUAAGUAAAAAUUUUAUAAAUAAGGUGAAAUUUUUUAUAAAAUUAAAUUUAUAAGGAGAAUUAAUUGAAGCUGUUAGAUUUAAUUAAUAAACUAGGAUUAGAUACCCUAUUAUUUUAAAAGUAAAUUAUAAAAUUAGGUAGUAAUAGUUAUAUUCUUGAAACUUAAAAAAUUUGGCGGUAUUUUAAUCUUCUUAGAGGAACCUGUUCCAUAAUCGAUAAUCCACGAUAAAUUUUACAUAAUUUAAUUUAGUUUGUAUAUCGUCGUUAGAAGAAAAUUUUAUAAGAAUAUUAAUUUUCUAAAAUUUUAAUUAAAAUUUAUUUCAGAUCAAGGUGCAGCUUAUAAUUAUGAGGAAAUGGGUUACAAUAAAUAUAUUUAAAUGAAUGGUAAAGUGAAUAUUUUAUUUGAAGGUGGAUUUAAUAGUAAAUUAAAUUAUAUAAUUUAAUUGAUUUUAGCUCUAAAAUAUGCACAUAUCGCCCGUCGCUCUCUUAAAUUAAAAAGAGAUAAGUCGUAACAAAGUAGAUGUACUGGAAAGUGUAUCUAGAAUGAGUCA
rnacentral:rRNA from 1 species